AAGUGAUAGUUGUAGUAGUAUGGGAUAUCAACACUCUUAUAGCUGUGUUGGAGGAACUAGGGUCAGUGGAUGAAGGCCUAUCUAUGAUGGCAACACAAAAGGUAGUAAGAGAUCUCUCGAGAGUCCAGGUGUGAUGCCAACUCAACUAUAAUUGCUUUAAUAUUUUUUUUCCUUGAUUUCCUUUUCUUUUCUUGCUUUUUCCCUUCCUUUUCUUUCUUUUCUCCUCUUUUCCUUUCUUUCUUUUCUUCUCUCGCCAGCGAUGGUCCUCCCUUCUCCUUUGGUCGGCAAUGGAGGCUCCUUGCACUUCCUUGCCAUCAAUUUUAAUGAGUUAUGGUUUUUGGGCUUGUGAGUUCAUGAUUGGGAUGAGAGAUUGGGUGAAGAAUUUUGGAAAAAUUUAGAGAAAACUUGUGAGCUUAGGUGUUCGAUUUGAGAGAGUUGGGAGAGAAUGGAGAAAAAAUUUUGCGUGAGAGAGAGAGAGAGAGAGAGAG
rnacentral:misc_RNA from 1 species